UUUCGCACCACUGAUGACCCCAGUGACAAGCGAGUAUGCAAUACUACUGGAUCAGAGCUGCUUUUCGYACACCUGUAAGGAGCUACUGAGCGUCUGAACCACGUCCAUCCCUUUUGCAACCACCUUCUCAGAUGAACCACAUGCAGGGUAGUGCCAGGAGCCUCUGCAGAUCCUGCCUUUCUCCAGUGACUGAGUCCUCUGAGCAGAGAAGUCUCUCAUCGCAUAAAAAAGCUGGCAACCCUGGAAAGCGCGCACAUUGACACUGCCCUCCCCACAGCUGCAGUUGUUUUAAAUAUAUGUGUCUGUGUAGUGUGUGUAUGUAUACAUACGCAUAUGUAUAAUUUUUGUGACAAGAAAAUAAAGUGUUUUCA
rnacentral:lncRNA from 1 species